GACGAACGCUGGCGGCGUGCCUAAUACAUGCAAGUCGAACGGAAAGGCCCUGCUUUUGGGGGGCACUCGAGUGGAGAAAGGGUGAGUAAAACGGGAGUAACCAGCCCUUGAAUUUGGGAUAAAUUCAGGGAAAACGGGCUAAUACCGGAUAUGAGCUCCUGCAGCAUGGUGUGCGUUGGAAAGUUACGGUGGUUGGGGAUGGACUCGCGGCUUAUCAGCUUGUUGGUCGGGUAAUGGCUUACCAAGGCUAUGAUGGGUAGCCGACAUGAGAGGGUGACAGGCCACACUGGAACUGAGACACGGCCCAGAGUCCUAGGGGAGGCACCAGUAGGGAAUCGUGGGCAAUGGGGGAAAGUAUGACCGAGAAAGGCCGAGGGAGUGAAGAAGGUCUUCGGAUCGGAAAACUCUGUUAUUAGGGAAGAACACGGUUGUUAGUAACUGAACGCGCCAUGACGGUAACUAAGCAGAAAGCCACGGCUAACUACGUG
rnacentral:rRNA from 1 species